rnacentral:rRNA from 1 species
GUCCGCGCGUAUAUAUGUGCGGUCUGACCUGCCCGCUGAGCAAAACUUUGUUUGAAUGGCCGCGGUAUACCUGACCGUGCGAAGGUAGCAUAAUAAUUUGUCUUUUAAUUGAAGGCUCGUAUGAAUGGUCGGACAAGAAGAAGGCUGUCUUAUUAAUGAAAGCUGAAUUUUACUUUUAAGUGAGAAGGCUUAAAUAAACCAAGGGGACGAUGAGACCCUAUAAAACUUUACAAGAUCUUAGGUUGUCCUGUGAAUUAGAGGUAUAAAACAGGUAUAGCUUGAGUAUUGUUUUGUUGGGGCGACAGGAAUAAAAAAGGUAACUGUUCUUGAAAUGAAAUGGUUAUGACCAGGUAGAUGAUCUUUUUUUAAGGAUUAAAAGAGUAAGUUACUUUAGGGAUAACAGCGUUAUUUCCCCUGAGAGGUCUUAUCGACGGGGUAAGUUGCGACCUCGAUGUUGAAUUAAGGUUUCACCCAGACGCAGUAGUCUGGAGGGUAGGUCUGUUCGACCUUUAAAACCUUACAUGAUUUGAGUUCANACCGGCGUGAG